UAAAAUGAAAAGAAUUUGUACACCCGGUAAGUCGAAAACCCGCAAGGGCGGCUUAGGCAAAAAAGGGUAUCCCGGUGGAUUGAAAACCCGAAAGGGCGAUCCAGCCAAAAGAGGGAUUAGAGCGAAGACUACAGUCUGAGUUAUCUGUGCUUCGUCGCGCUUCGUCAGCUACCAUCUCGAAAGAAGUGAUCGGUCCGGUCAUUCUUCUCAGAAAGCAAGGAAGUUGGGAGGAAAAUU
rnacentral:lncRNA from 1 species